AUUGAACGCUGGCGGCAUGCCUUACACAUGCAAGUCGAACGGCAGCACGGGAGCAAUCCUGGUGGCGAGUGGCGAACGGGUGAGUAAUAUAUCGGAACGUGCCCAGUCGUGGGGAUAACGUAGCGAAAGCUACGCUAAUACCGCAUACGAUCUAUGGAUGAAAGCGGGGGAUCGCAAGACCUCGCGCGAUUGGAGCGGCCGAUAUCAGAUUAGGUAGUUGGUGAGGUAAAGGCUCACCAAGCCGACGAUCUGUAGCUGGUCUGAGAGGACGACCAGCCACACUGGGACUGAGACACGGCCCAGACUCUACGGAGGCAGCAGUGGGGAAUUUUGGACAAAUGGGCGCAAGCCUGAUCCAGCAAUGCCGCGUGCAGGAUGAA
rnacentral:rRNA from 1 species